rnacentral:rRNA from 1 species
AACGGCGAGUGAAGCGGUAACAGCUCAAAUUUGAAAUCUGGCCUCACGGUCCGAGUUGUAAUUUGUAGAGGAUGCUUCGAGCAUGGUCUGGCCUAAGUUCCUUGGAACAGGACGUCAUAGAGGGUGAGAAUCCCGUAUGCGGCCAGGUGCCUACGCUCAUGUGAAGCUCCUUCGACGAGUCGAGUUGUUUGGGAAUGCAGCUCAAAAUGGGUGGUAAAUUUCAUCUAAAGCUAAAUAUUGGCCAGAGACCGAUAGCGCACAAGUAGAGUGAUCGAAAGAUGAAAAGCACUUUGGAAAGAGAGUUAAACAGUACGUGAAAUUGUUGAAAGGGAAGCGCUUGCAACCAGACUUGCGCGCGGCCGAUCAUCCGGUGUUCUCACCGGUGCACUCGGCCGUGCUCAGGCCAGCAUCGGUUUUGGCGGCUGGAUAAAGGCCCUAGGAAUGUAGCUCCUCUCGGGGAGUGUUAUAGCCUAGGGUGCAAUGCAGCCUGCUGGGACCGAGGACCGCGCUUCGGCUAGGAUGCUGGCGUAAUGGUUGUAAGCGGCCCGUCUUGAAACACGGACCAAGGAGUCUAACAUCUAUGCGAGUGUUUGGGUGUCAAACCCAUACGCGUAAUGAAAGUGAACGGAGGUGAGAACCCUUAAGGGUGCAUCAUCGACCGGUCCUGAAGUUUACGGAAGGAUCUGAGUAAGAGCAUAGCUGUUGGGACCCGAAAGAUGGUGAACUAUGCCUGAAUAGGGUGAAGCCAGAGGAAACUCUGGUGGAGGCUCGCAGCGGUUCUGACGUGCAAAUCGAUCGUCAAAUUUGGGUAUAG